ensembl:Y_RNA Y_RNA Y RNA
GGCUGGUCCAAGUGCGGUGGUGUUUCCAAUUAACUGAUCACAGCCAGUUACAGAUCUCUGUUUCUUCUCCACUCCUCCUGCUUUGCUUGACUAGCCUUAA